GACGAACGCUGGCGGCGUGCUUAACACAUGCAAGUCGAGCGGGUAAGGCCCUUUCGGGGGGUACACGAGCGGCGAACGGGUGAGUAACACGUGGGUGACCUGCCCUCAGCUCUGGGAUAAGCCUGGGAAACCGGGUCUAAUACUGGAUAUGGACUCCAUGACGCAUGUUGGUGGGGUGGAAAGCCUUGUGCGGCUGAGGAUGGGCCCGCGGCCUAUCAGCUUGUUGGUGGGGU
rnacentral:rRNA from 1 species